UACGUAGGGGGCAAGCGUUGUCCGGAAUCAUUGGGCGUAAAGAGCGUGUAGGCGGCUUGGUAAGUCCGCUGUGAAAGUCCAGGGCUCAACCCUGGAAUGCCGGUGGAAACUGUCAAGCUUGAGUCCGGAAGAGGCGAGUGGAAUUCCGUGGUGUAGCGGUGAAAUGCGCAGAUAUCAGGAGGAACACCGGUGGCGAAGGCGGAUCUCUGGGCCGAUACUGGACGCUGAGGCACGAAGGCC
rnacentral:rRNA from 1 species